GGAGGCAGCAUGGAAGAAGUCAUGUACUGGUGAUCAAUGGUGUUAUCCUCACGUACGGCAGCCUUCUCAUGUUGGAUUUGGAAAGAAAAGAACAGGUCCGGAGUCGAUUCUUGAAAAGGAACAGACCUUGGACGGUGAAACGUUGCCCUCGUUACAAGCUGCCGAGACAGAAGAAGUCAAACAUUACAAAAUGGGUUCUCCGUUCUUCUGAGAUGAAAAAAUCAGAACGAGACCACCUGCAUGCUUGGAUUAUAUAUUAUACUCAUCAAUCAUCAUUGCGUCACUGAUCAGAGCCCAUUGGCAAACAGGUAGCCGCCUAUGACCUACCUUAAUGAUGAGCAAAACAAUUCCACAAGUUUGAACUUUGAAGCCGUCAACAAGCUACAGAUAUCGCCGUCAACAAGCUACAGAUAUCUUUAUAAAUAUUCCAGCUGCACUCCUCCUUACCAGCCCAGCACUGAGGUAGCCUUGUGAGCCCAGAGAAGCAUUGUCUCCAGCCAUGAGCCUGAGGUUGGGAGCCAUACGAUCUCUUGCCCUCGUCUUCUUCGUGAUGGCGGUUCUAAUGGCCAUCAGCUCUGUAGCCGCCAUCCGUGGUGGCUCUGGUGGAAUUUGCGAGACACCAAACCCUCCGAGCAGACAACCUGGGGGUGGAGGUUGUGGUCCGCCCCCGUGAUUGAUAAGGUCCACGAAGAUUAUCUUCUCUCCCCCAAUACAUGAGUGUGUAUGUGUGAUGCCUGUGAGGCUGUGAGAUUGAGAUGCUAGGUGAACCGGCAAACUCAUUAGGCCAUAUGCAUGGUUCUUCUUUAUGGAGCAUUUGAGAAGUAGGAAUUUAAACUUGUGAAAUGUCAAAGUGGAUUCCGUAUAUAUCAUGGGUCAUGGGUGCGUAUUAGAGUUGAGCACUUUAUUCUCUCUUGGUCAACUAUAUAUAUGUCGACGUGUAAUAGCAAUAAUGUUGAUAGAACCAGAUAGUUCAGUUUAUUAGUUCUUGCAAA